UGGGGAAUAUUGCACAAUGGGGGAAACCCUGAUGCAGCGACGCCGCGUGAAGGAUGAAGUAUUUCGGUAUGUAAACUUCUAUCAGCAGGGAAGAAAAUGACGGUACCUGACUAAGAAGCCCCGGCUAACUACGUGCCAGCAGCCGCGGUAAUACGUAGGGGGCAAGCGUUAUCCGGAUUUACUGGGUGUAAAGGGAGCGUAGACGGCUGUGCAAGUCUGAUGUGAAAACCCGGGGCUCAACCCCGGGACUGCAUUGGAAACUGUGCAGCUAGAGUGUCGGAGAGGUAAGUGGAAUUCCUAGUGUAGCGGUGAAAUGCGUAGAUAUUAGGAGGAACACCAGUGGCGAAGGCGACUUACUGGACGAUUACUGACGUUGAGGCUCGAAAGCGUGGGGAGCAAACA
rnacentral:rRNA from 1 species